GCUUAUGGCCAUACCACCCUGAUUCUCGUCUGAUCUCAGAAGCUAAGCAGGGUUGGGCCUGGUUAGUACUUGGAUGCGAAACCACCUGGGAAUGUCAGGUGCUGUAAGCU
rnacentral:rRNA from 1 species